rnacentral:rRNA from 1 species
GAUGAACGCUGGCGGCGUGCUUAACACAUGCAAGUCGAACGGAAAGGCUCCUGCUUGCCGGGGUACUCGAGUGGCGAACGGGUGAGUAACACGUGGGUGAUCUGCCCUGCACUUCGGGAUAAGCCUGGGAGACUGGGUCUAAUACCGGAUAGGACCACAUUUUGGAUGGUGUGGUGGAAAGUUUUUCGGUGUGGGAUGAGCUCGCGGCCUAUCAGCUUGUUGGUGGGGUAAUGGCCUACCAAGGCGUCGACGGGUAGCCGGCCUGAGAGGGUGUACGGCCACAUUGGGACUGAGAUACGGACCAGACUCCUACGGUAGGCAGCAGUGGGGAAUAUUGCACAAUGGGCGCAAGCCUGAUGCAGCGACGCCGCGUGGGGGAUGACGGCCUUCGGGUUGUAAACUCCUUUCGCUAGGGACGAAGCGCAAGUGACGGUACCUGGAGAAGAAGCACCGGCUAACUACGUG